UGUGACAUCACUGAGGCAGCUCCAUUAGGGUGAAGCAGAUGGGAGCCAGCAGUCUCAUGUUACCUCUGUGACUUCUCCCCUCCUGGGCCUUUUAAGGAGAAAUUUUUCGAAGCACUGUCACUUAGGCCCAACUAGUUUAAUCCUCACAGCAUCCUUUAUGGGUAGGCAAGCUGUUAUAUGGUGAAUGGCACAGAACAUCCAAUUCAACAAAGAAGCCCUCACAUCAUUGACAAGGCCUGUGGGAAUGUAUGUGUGACCUAUGACAAGGAUCCUCUGCUGGAGCAGUCUGCCACCCACCACACUGCUGAACCUUUCUAGUGAUUUUCUACUUUAUGCGGUUUACACCAGAGGUGAUCAUUUGGUUCUGAACCAAAAUCAGAACUCUGGAUUGUUCUUCUUAUACUGCUUUAAAAGAAGGGUUCCAAACCCUGUAUUUUA